rnacentral:misc_RNA from 1 species
AACGUAGGGGGCGAGCGUUGCCCGGAUUCACUGGGCGUAAAGCGCGCGUAGGCGGUCCGUUAAGUCGGAUGUGAAAUCCCACGGCUCAACCGUGGAAUUGCAUCCGAUACUGGCGGACUUGAGGACGGUAGAGGUCGGUGGAAUUCCAGGUGUACCGGUGAAAUGGGCAGAUAUCUGGAGGAACACCAGUGGCGAAGGCGGCCGACUGGGCCGAUCCUGACGCUGAGGCGCGAAAGCCAGGGGAGCGAACCGG